GCCUUCGUGGUGUAGUGGUCAGCACGCUCGACUCGUAUUCGAGAGGUCCGUGGUUCGAGUCCCGGCGAAGGCA
rnacentral:tRNA from 1 species